AGAACGAACGCUGGCGGCAGGCUUAACACAUGCAAGUCGAACGCGUGUAGCAAUACACGAGUGGCGCACGGGUGAGUAACGCGUGGAUAUCUGCCUUUUGGUUCGGAAUAACCCCGGGAAACUGGGGCUAAUACCGGAUGGUUCCUACGGGAUAAAGAUUUAUCGCCAAAAGAUGAGUCCGCGUCCGAUUAGCUAGUUGGUGGGGUAAUGGCCUACCAAGGCGACGAUCGGUAGCUGGUCUGAGAGGACGAUCAGCCACACUGGGACUGAGACACGGCCCAGACUCCUACGGGAGGCAGCAGUGGGGAAUAUUGGACAAUGGGGGCAACCCUGAUCCAGCCAUGCCGCGUGAGUGAUGAAGGCCUUCGGGUUGUAAAGCUCUUUUGGCGGGGACGAUGAUGACGGUACCCGCAGAUAAGCCCCGGCUAACUUCGUGCCAGCAGCCGC
rnacentral:rRNA from 1 species